GUCUGAUGAAUAAAAGAGGCAAGAAGCGCCAGAAUAGUAUUUAUAAAUCACAGAUUCCCUUUUCUUUAACCUCUACUCUCUUAAGAAUAUGUAGUGCAUUAGUAAGAGCAACAUCUUUGCUAACUAUUAAAUUAUAUGGUUUGGCAUUGUCGGAUUAUUUCUGAAGGCAUGCUUCCUGCAACGCUCAAAUAUGCUGUCGUAGAUCAAAUCAAAUUGAACUCCAGCUCUUUCACGAUUCACAAUGAAAAGAAUGUGAUCACCUUCGACAAUCUUAUAGUACCAGAUGCCAGGUAGAAAAGGCUGGCAAUCAGAAUCUUUAACAACGAGUUGACUUGGGUGCUCAACUGGGAAACGAGGAUGUGUCAUAGAUAUAGUGUUGAGUGCACCAUCAUUGUCCCACCAAUCCUCAUCCCUAUAGCCCUUAUAUGGGGGAGGGACAUCUGGAGGAUGGCGCCAUAGGCUCAUUUGCAAGAUUCUAAUGAACAGCAGAGGAUGUAUCCCUAGUAUGCCAGAAGGGACUGUUAUACCCAUGACUUUGUUGGUACGCUUGGUAGCAUAGCUGAAGUAGUACGUACUAGGAAACGUAUGCAAGAGGUUGUUCAACUUGAUCGACCCCUGG
rnacentral:misc_RNA from 1 species